rnacentral:rRNA from 1 species
AUACAGGUCAUGCCUCAGUACGGCGAGUGAGCGGCAAAAGCUCAAAUUUGAAAUCCUUCGGGAGUUGUAAUUUGUAGGUUGGGAGACCCCGCGGCUAGUGGCACCAAGUCCCUUGGAACAGGGCGCCUUAGAGGGUGAGAGCCCCGUAGGUACCACAAUACCGUCUUGUGUCUCCUCUCCAAAGAGUCGAGUUGUUUGGGAAUGCAGCUCAAAGUGGGUGGUAAAUUCCAUCUAAAGCUAAAUACCGGCGAGAGACCGAUAGCGAACAAGUACAGUGAUGGAAAGAUGAAAAGCACUUUGAAAAGAGAGUGAAACAGUACGUGAAAUUGUUGAAAGGGAAGGGCUUGCAAGCAGACACGGCCUUCGUGCCGGGCCAGCAUCGGUUGCUAGGGGUGGAUAAGGAACAAGGAAUGUAGCUCCUCGGAGUAUUAUAGCCUUGCGCGAUACACCCACUGGCGACCGAGGCCUGCGGUAUUCCUACCUAGGAUGCUGGCGUAAUGGUUGCAAGCCGCCCGUCUUG